rnacentral:misc_RNA from 1 species
UUUUUUUUUUUUUUUUCCGAUGCUCAAUUGAACCUUUCAUAAUUGCAGUGAAUAUUUUAAAGAAUAAUAUUAGGACAUGGAGAUGACAACCCCACAUAAAUCCCCAACCACCCACCCAUGUUGAAAAAUAUUUAUAGGUAACCUAGAUGCACUAGACAUUGGGAUUUCUUUUCUAACAAAGAUACAAUGAGCAUUCACUAUCAUCUAAAUAAAUUUUUGUAAUAUCCUUGAUCUGUUAGGAUCCAAAGGCCGGAAAUCCUCCAGAUGCAAUUUGGAACCAAUUAGGAGCUCAUUUAAGAAACUUUCUCCUUUCUCUGCUUUUAUCAUCUCCAAACUACUUCCAAGAACAUCCCCUGCAAGUCCA